rnacentral:rRNA from 1 species
CGAUUUUAGCCAUGCUAGUUGCGCGGGUUCAGACUCGCAGCAGAUAGCUCAGUAACACGUGGUCAAGCUACCCUGCAGACACGGACAACCUCGGGAAACUGAGGCUAAUCCGCGAUACCGAUCCCACGCUGGAAUGCCGGGAUCCACAAACGCUCCGGCGCUGCAGGAUGCGGCUGCGGCCGAUUAGGUAGACGGUGGGGUAACGGCCCACCGUGCCGAUAAUCGGUACGGGUUGUGAGAGCAAGAGCCCGGAGACGGAAUCUGAGACAAGAUUCCGGGCCCUACGGGGCGCAGCAGGCGCGAAACCUUUACACUGCACGCAAGUGCGAUAAGGGGACUCCGAGUGCGAGGGCAUAUAGUCCUCGCUUUUGAGAACCGUAAGGUGGUUCUCGAAUAAGAGCUGGGCAAGACCGGUGCCAGCCGCCGCGGUAAUACCGGCAGCUCAAGUGAUGGCCAAUCUUAUUGGGCCUAAAGCGUCCGUAGCUGGCCGUGAAAGUUCGUCGGGAAAUCCAUCCGCUCAACGGAUGGGCGUCCGGCGAAAACUUCACGGCUUGGGACCGGAAGGCUCGAGGGGUACGUCCGGGGUAGGAGUGAAAUCCUGUAAUCCUGGACGGACCGCCGAUGGCGAAAGCACCUCGAGAAGACGGAUCCGACAGUGAGGGACGAAAGCUAGGGUCUCGAACCGGAUUAGAUACCCGGGUAGUCCUAGCCGUAAACGAUGUUCACUAGGUGUGGCACAGGCUACGAGCCUGUGCUGUGCCGUAGGGAAGCCGAGAAGUGAACCGCCUGGGAAGUACGUCCGCAAGGAUGAAACUUAAAAGGAAUUGGCGGGGGAGCACUACAACCGGAGGAGCCUGCGGGUUUAAUUUGGACUCAACGCCGGACAUCUCACCAGCUCCGACUACAGUAAUGACGGUCAGGUUGAUGACCUUACCACGAGCUGUAGAGAGGAGGUGCAUGGCCGCCGUCAGCUCGUACCGUGAGGCGUCCUGUUAAGUCAGGCAACGAGCGAGACCCACGCACCUAAUUGCCAGCAGCAGUUCCGACUGGCUGGGUACAUUAGGUGGACUGCCAGUGCCCAACCUGGAGGAAGAAUG